rnacentral:tRNA from 1 species
GCGCCCUUAGCUCAGCUGGAUAGAGUACCUGGCUACGAACCAGGCGGUCGGAGGUUCGAAUCCUCCAGGGCGUACCA